GGUGGCCUAGCUGUCCGUACUCCCCAAACGCAACCUUCCAGUCCCAAACCCAGGCGUUCUAAGCGCUCAGGACGACGAUUUGCGCUCACGCCAGGACCCUAGUCUUCAUUGGACCCUUCCUCAUUCUGUCCUCAUUGAGGCCAUCUGAGAAUAGGGGCUAUCUGAGAAUGCAGGGGAGUGGACAUCGUGUGCAGACAGGGAGUCUGAUUGUGAGUGCCACGGGGCUGAGGCCUGCGCCGACCUGGUCUGCUGGUGCUACCAGGCUUGAACAGUCUUCAAAUCCACUGCUAUUAGGCAAAUUACCUGGCUCCCGCUGAACUCCAGCACCUAGAACUAUGUCACACUCGUAGUAGGCCGCUGCAUUGGUUGAACAAAUGAUUUUGAAAGAAUGAAUGUCUUCCUCUGUGCCUGCAUUUCCUCAGAAGGCUGUAACAAAGAUUAAAUAGGAAAAUUCGUGGAAAGUUCAAUAAAAAAAAAAAAA
rnacentral:lncRNA from 1 species